GCCCCCCUCUCCCCCGCCUCUCGGUCUGUGGAUCUCGGGCUGGUUCCAUCCUCCCAGGACCCGGGGGAGGGACUGGGGGCCCCGGGGAGGGGGCCUCGGGCGGCCCUCCCCCGCCUUCUCGCCCCUGCCCUCGCUGGCAGGAGCCCCUAGCUGUGACCCCCGCGGGGGCAGGAGGCUGCGGGUCCAUGCUCGGAGCCUCCGUACGGCCCGGCGCCUGCCGCUGACGGCGGUGGGGGUGGGGGGGCCGGGCACCCAGCCUCCUGCCCCACCCCCUGGCGUCGGCCCCUCGGGCCAUCUGGGGCCGCUGCCCCUGGCUGCGCCCUCCCCCCCGGCCAGGCCCUGGAGGGACCCGGGAGCUGCCGCCGGCAUCAGCCCAUGGCCCGGAGGUACGAUGAGCUGCCCCACUACCCCGGCAUCGUGGACAGCACUGCAGCCCUGGCUGGCUUCUCGGAGGCAGUGCCCUCGGCACCGAGAGCCCCCGGGCCCUACGGCCCCCACCGGCCUCCCCAGCCCCCGCCCCUGGGCUUGGAUAGUGAUGGCCUGAGGAGGGAGAAGGAUGAGAUCUACGGACACCCGCUCUUCCCGCUGCUGGCCCUGGUCUUUGAGAAAUGUGAAUUGGCCACGUGUUCUCCCCGUGACGGGGCUGGGACUGGGCUGGGCACACCCCCAGGCAGUGACGUAUGCUCCUCCGAUUCCUUCAAUGAGGACAUCGCAGCCUUUGCCAAGCAGGUCCGCUCCGAGAGGCCUCUCUUCUCCUCCAACCCGGAGCUGGACAAUCUGAUGAUACAAGCCAUUCAAGUGCUCCGUUUCCACCUGCUGGAGCUGGAGAAGGUCCACGACCUGUGCGACAACUUCUGUCACCGCUACAUCACCUGCCUCAAGGGAAAGAUGCCCAUCGACCUGGUCAUCGAGGAUCGGGACGGCGGCUGCAGGGAGGAUCUCGAUGACUACCCGGCCUCCUGCCCGAGCCUCCCAGAUCAGAAUACUACAUGGAUUAGAGACCAUGAAGACAGCGGGUCUGUACAUUUGGGGACCCCGGGUCCAUCCAGCGGGGGCCUGGCCUCCCAGAGUGGUGACAACUCCAGUGACCAAGGAGAUGGACUAGACACAAAUGUGGCCUCUCCCAGUUCUGGGGGAGAGGACGAAGAGCUGGACCACGAGCGCCGGCAGAACAAGAAGAGAGGGAUCUUCCCCAAGGUGGCCACCAACAUCAUGAGAGCCUGGUUGUUCCAGCACCUCUCGCACCCGUACCCCUCAGAGGAGCAGAAGAAACAGCUGUCCCAGGACACGGGGCUCACCAUCCUACAAGUCAACAACUGGUUCAUUAAUGCCCGGAGACGCAUCGUGCAACCAAUGAUCGAUCAAUCCAACCGCACAGCAGGGCAGGGUGCAGCCUUCAGCCCAGAGGGCCAGCCCAUGGGGGCCUACACGGAGACUCAGCCACAAGUGACUGUCAGGCCCCCAGGAUCAAUGGGGAUGAGUUUGAACUUAGAAGGAGAGUGGCAUUAUUUAUAGAGGCUGGAGUCAGGAGAAAUAUAAGAAAACUGAGGCUCGGAGAGAAGAGUUCACUUGUACAGGUUCACUCAGCUUAGAAAAGCAGAGGGAACAGCAUGUGCAAACGCCCAGGGUUGAGAGGCUGCCUGGAGUUUCUAAAGCAGCGGCCAUGGCUCACAGGCCCAGCCACUCUGCGGCAUGUGGGAUCUUCCCGGACCGGGGCACGAACCCGUGUCCCCUGCAUCGGCAGGCGGACUCUCAACCACUGCGCCACCAGGGAAGCCCCACAGAUCAGAUCUUGACUCUCCUUGGAUUAAAACCCUUCUGUGGCUCCCUGGUGCCCAUUGGAUGAGGUCCAAAGUCCUUGGUUUGGCAUCUAUUCAUUCAUUCAUUCCAUACACAUUCCCUGAGCAACUAUGUGCCCAGCCCUGUGCUGGGUGGUGAUGGGGACACAGCAGUGACCAUGACAGCCCAGCCCUGUGCCCAUGAGGCUCACAGUCCAGUGGGGGAGACAGAUCUGUCCCCAGACAGUAAUGACCUACAGUAGGCAGGGCUGGGAGGAGGGAACUCAAGAACUGGAAGAACCCAGAGGGGGCAUCGGGCCUAGGCUGGGGGGUUCAGGGAGGACUUCCUGGAGGAGGGCACUUUGGAGCUGAGACCAGGAGAAUAAGGAGUGAGACAGGAGAGGAAGGAACAGUAUAUGCAAAGGCUAUGAGACAGUCCCUCACUACACACACACGUACAUACAAAGGGACUGGGCUGGGCUGAGGCUGGUGUGUCAAAUGGGUGAGUAAUGAAAUCAAGGCCCACAGAAAGGCUGGGAUAUGAGAGUGGAGACCUGCAAGGGCUUAGGCUUGGAGAGCACUGGAGGCCUGAGCCUAGGAGGAGAGGUUCGUUCAGCGCCCGGCAGGUCCGUGGGGGUCUCAGCUCUGCCCUGACCAACUGCAGACAGACCCCAACCUCUGGACUGUGACUGCCAGGUUCAUACCUGCUUCUGGUCGACGCCUGGCCCUCUGGCUUCAGGACCCCACCUCCUAUGGCCCCCCCAACUCAAUGCCUACCUCCCUGGGGCCCUGCCGGGACAUGAGGGGCCUGAGCACCCACUCGAGGGUCUCUCAAGGACAAAGACAAGGCCUCCAGGCCCUGUGCCCCACUUCUGCCCUCACCUCUGCCUGGAACCUGAGCUGAAAUCCUGGGCCUGGGUAUUCAGAAGAUGGCGGCUGGGUACCCCCCCACCCCUAGGACAGAGAAGGGAUUGGGGGUGGGCUGGGGCCAUCAGGGAAGGAGGGUCACCCAGAUCCGACAUUUAGAGAGGUUCCCUUCAUCCUCCCAGCCCACCCUCUUUCCCCCUCCCCCACUCCCCUCUUGUGUUGUCUUCUACCUUUUUUUUUUAAGCAUAA